AGUUGGUUCCCGGAGGCAGAAUCUGUUAAACUGACAAAGCCCACGUCUCCGGGUCCCUGUCUCGGGGAGUCGGGACUAUUGGGUCACCCCGGGUAGUCGAGACUCUAGACUGAGCUGUCUCGGUCACUCAGGAGGCAGUUGGCAGAGUAUUCGUGGUCAGGGAGGUGACCCGUGGUCAGCAGGGUCAGGCCACCCAGGGACAAAGGGUGCUCCUGCACCGGGCCUUGGAGAAGGACAGAGCGGUGGGGACUUGGGGUCAGCGGGGGAGCCUCCGCGGAUGGGGAGUCACCACCUGCCGGCAAUCAGCCAUGACUGCCUUUGCACUGUCCAUGCUCUCAGCCCACCACCUCCUCCCCCUGCCAUUGCAGUGGCUAACACUGGAGACGAAGACCAAGACACCACAGCCUUUCUCCAGUACCUCUCAAAUCAGCACAGACAAGGACAAAGGCCUCAAUCCACAACUGCUGAAGAUGGACCCUGGCCACAUGGGAUGGUCAGACACGCCUGCCCAGCUAUCUGCAGGCGAAGAGGCUCAGAAGAGGUUUAGGGGCCUGAAGGACAUCUUGCUUCCAUGUCCAUAUGAGCAGGCUAUUUCUGCUCCAUGAGUCAAUUUUGCCAUAUAAAAUACUUAAUUUCAGCCAUUCCAGGGUGCUAUAGGAUGCACAGCUUCCCAUCAGCCCACCUGAACUCCAGCCAUGCCAUUUUAAUACCAGGAAUAAGGUCACCUGCUUUCCUGCCCCUUAGGAGGCCGGAGCCGUGGAAGCAAAAUGGCACUUCUGUUUACCUGUUAUAUUAUUUUUUUGUCAUCCUUAUAUGUUUGAAAAAUGCAAUUAUAUGAAAAAAGUUUAGUAAUUACAGACAUAACAGCAGAAAGUCCUCGGAACCAAGCUUAUUCUCAUGGCCGAUUCUGCUCCACCUGGGACUCUGCUGUGCUGCGGGCAUCCUGUGGUCAGAAUCGCAGAGGGGCCAUCAGGGAGGACCUUCCCAGAGGAUGGACCUCACGUGACUGCUGCGUGGGCAAGUGGCACUGGCCACUCUGCCUGGAGAGAGGAGUAAAUGCAGGGCUGGCCAGGCGACCUGCACACUCUGCUACCGGCCUUGUCCAUCUUUAGCCUCUAAUUUGAAAAUGAGGAUCACACAGACCAAGAGUAUCUUUGAGGGUUAGUACAGACCACAGAAAUGCCCUGGGCCUUUCACUCUCUCCUUUUGCAAAUUCCCAUGUGUGGAAAUGCCGUUUGGAUAAUGAGGGAGCCUGAAGGAGGUGGACACAUGAGCAGCCCCGACAGGCCUGGCUCCAUCCUCUGAAAAUGGGGCCCCGUGCCCGGCGUGUGGCCUUACUGGUUCAGUCUUCUUUACAGUGGUAGGUUUUGAGUGCCCAGAUGCCCAGUGCCUCCUACCCGGAACAGGACAGGACCAGGCUGUCCCCUGGAAGAAUCCCAUGCACACUUGGCUAUUCAGGGAGUUUCCACCCAGCCGAGCUCGCCUCUGUGGCUACCCUGGUCUUGCUGCUCAUAUCUGCCAGGAAAGGCCUGGACUUGGAGAGAAACCUGGGAUUUGGAUUCAGUCCUUGCCAGCCUGGCUGGUUCAUAUCCUUACCUCUGUCUGUGGAAGCCUAUGUUCCUGAGCAGCGAGUCAGAGGGGGCAUCUGAACGCAGAGCAGGGAGCUUCAGAUGGGAAGAAGUCAGAGGAACCAGAAUGUAUCAGACGAUGUGGAGUUGGGUGCCUGAGCUCAAAGCAAGCUGGGCCUUGGGCUGGCUGUGUGAUCUUGGGCAAGUUCGACCAGCUUCUUUGUGCCUCUUUUCUCUCCUUAAUAAGAUAAAUGUCUUCACUAGUACACUGAGGGCUGCCAUUAAGUUCUAUGUGCAGGGAUCCAAGGCAGGCCCUAGGUCUCUUGGUGAGUGCUACUCCUCCUUACAAUUUGCUGCCCGGAGCAACAUUGGGUGACAGAACUUCUUAGCACCUUGGCAGUCCUUGUCCUCCUGGACCCUCUGUUUUGAGGGUGGAAUGAGGUGAAGGGCAAGUGCUUUCCCAGCUGGUCAGGUGCUCUACCAACUGGGCAUAUUCUAAUCCCCCCAGAGUAUACAGAUCAGAGUUUGAUGUGGCCAAUGGGUCCAAUGCCCAAGUGAGAAUCUCUUGAUGAAGUUAUUGGUGUGGGGUUUUGCUUUGGUUUUUAAUUAUAGAGAGCAAAAGUAUUGAAAGUAUUACAUUUACCCUAAAGGUGUAAGCAAGUUAUGGUCAAGUGAAGAUGAAGUACCAUCCUCAAACACGGGUUCCAUUCUUAGCUCAUCUCAUUUAAAGGAGAGAAAAGCCUUGCAGGUGAAACAUGGUGGGGGUAGACAGGGGUUCAGCCAAUUUCAGUGUUUGGCCCCAAGAAGUGAAUUUGGGUUUGAGGACCUCUCUCUGGAAGGAUUUUAUGACCAGAUCUUCCUGGAGAUGAUAUUAGAAGCUUUUCUCACCAAAUAUUUAUUUGCCUGGGGUGCAACUUCUGCUUCAUUCUCUCUUUGACUCCAGCUGUCUUUUUGGACUGAAGUGCAGGUUGCUCACAGCAUCCUACAAAGUAACUGUCUUCCCAAAUCUCACUUACCUCUGAGUUUCUGCUGUAUUCCUGUCUUUCUCUCUCUCUUUUUGAACUGGAAUCUAUUACUUUGGAUGAUGCAUGCUGGCGUUUUCUAAAGUUUUCUGAUUGAUUGUGUCUUUAAAAAAUAAUCUGAUAGUAUUUUAGCUUCUUGAAUUUUGUGGCAUAUUUUUAGGCCUCUCCUAAACCCAUUUUUGAGUGCUAUGACAUUGUUCAUGUAUGAAGUUAUGCCAGUAGAAACAAAAUGCUGUCAUAUAGGCUCCCCUAAAACUUCAAAUCUGGUCCAGAUCUUAGACUGGCAGCUUCUGCUGUCAUUGGAUCUCAGUGAGACCUUUGCACCCAUUUCCUCCCUUUGUGAUUCAUCCACGGACAUCCCCAUCUCCUUGAGAACAAUCUCAGGAAUAUUCCUUGCCUUCUUUCGGCUCUCACUCCAUCUCAUUUUCUGCUGUUCACUCGGGAAUAAAGAGAUGUCCCACACUUUAAAGAGUAAAAACAAAAAUUGGAGCUCAGAGAGGGUGAACUUGUCAAUAUCACACAGAGCUGGGAGUGUGGUAAGCCCUUGAAAUGGGGCUCAAUGACACCGCUACCUCCCAGGGAUUCCUAAUGUCUGAGGGUUCCAGUGAGCUGAGAUGAACCCAGGGCCUAAGAAGAACUCUCUGACCUCCUCACCUCCAAAGCCCCACCCAGUGCACAUGGCCUGAGGCGUCCAUGGUGAUGGUAAAGAAACCUCACCUGCCAUCUCUCCCAUUACUGCCAUGUCCCCUCUCAUCCUAUUCUGUGCCAAAUGUCCAGAUGUGAUCAAUAGAAUCAGGAGAAAAUUGAGGCCUGAGGGGAGGGGGCCAGACUCUGGGAGUGGAGAGUGGAUUGAAGUCAGACUAGGGCUGUUCAGCAAGGAGUUCAGGGCCUUCAAGUGUUGGGAGCUUGGCAGCAAUGCCAAGGGGAAUGGGGGUGGAUUUGGGUCCAAGUUUAUGUUCGAAGAAUAUAAGCAUGAUUUGGAGACUCCUGAUGUUCAUAUG
rnacentral:lncRNA from 1 species